GAGCAGCACAAACCAUCCAAAGGCAGAAACCUAGCACGUCAGCUUUCUACAAGAAAGAAUGAAUUUUCCAAGACCUGCUUUGCUGUCAGAAGCUGUAGCUCUCCCUGUAUUACACCUGAGAUUCCUUAAGACCUCUCCAAUGCACAAGCAGAAUAAGAAUUCCUGUUUUCACAUCAUUAUAUACAAGGAAACCUAGAAGGGGG